UGGGCGGGGCGUCCGGAGGAGGAGGCCAUGCGGGCUCAAGUGUCUGUGAUCCUCCCCGUCCACAAUGCGGAGCCCUGGUUGGACGAGUGCUUGAGGUCUGUUUUGCAGCAGGACUUCGAAGGCGCCAUGGAGCUCUCGGUUUUUAAUGACGCCAGUAAGGACAAGUCUAUGGCUAUCAUUGAAAAAUGGAAAGUGAAGCUAGAAGGUUCCGGUAUCCUCGUAGUCAUUGGAGGGCACGAUUCUCCUUCUCCCAGAGGAGUCGGAUAUUCUAAAAACCAAGCAAUAGCCCAGAGCUCAGGGUCUUACCUGUGCUUUUUGGAUUCGGACGACGUGAUGAUGCCUCAGAGGGUGAGGCUGCAGCUGGAAGCCGCCGUCCGGCACCCAACAAGCAUCAUAGGCUGCCAAGUGAGGAGAGAGCCCCCCAACUCCACGGAGCGGUACACGCGCUGGAUCAACCAGCUGGCGCCUGAGCAGCUGCUCACUCAGGUCUUCACCUCCAAUGGCCCAACUGUGGUCAUGCCCACCUGGUUCUGCUCACGAGCAUGGUUUUCUCACGUGGGCCCGUUCGACGAGGGCGGGCAGGGCGUGCCCGAGGACCUGCUGCUCUUCUACAACCACCUCAGGAAGGGCGGCGGCGUCGGACGGGUGGACCAGAGCCUGCUCCUCUACCGCUACCACCCCGGCGCGGCCACGCACUCCGUGCUUGAGUCGAACCGUGUGUUCCGUCUGUGUCACAUAUAUGUGUGCGUGUUACAUGGGCCUCACAUGACUGGGUGUGUCCCUCGGUUCCUCACCAUCAUGCUGCUGCUCCCUUUUGGGGACUCCAGACAGGGCCACCAUCUGGACCCACCGAGUCCGCUUCCUGGAAGAGCGGGCUUUGCCACACUGGGCGACCUUCACCAUCUGGAACGCAGGCAAGCAGGGCCGCCGGCUCUACCGCAGCCUCACAGCAGGGGCGAGGCGCAAGGUGGUUGCCUUCUGCGACGUAGACGAGAACAAGAUCAAGAAGGGCUUUUACUGCUACGAGGACUCUCAGGAAAAGCCCAAGCCCCGGGUGCCCAUCCUGCACUUCCGAGCCGCCCGCCCGCCCUUCGUCAUCUGCGUGAAGCUGGACCUUACUGGGGGUGCAUUUGAGGACAACCUGAGGUCGCUGCACCUGCAGGAGGGCCGGGACUUCCUUCACUUCAGCUGACAGGCCACAGCAGCCAUGGAGUCCUGCAGGCGCUCAGUCCUGCCACGUGGAGUCGUGUCCUCAGCACCAGGGCGAGCCGAUCCAGCCUCCCGACUCCGGCUGCUGGGACUCGGGCAGCAGGGGCACCGCCGUGUGCACAGCAGCCAGCGGGGGAGCCCGUCCUGUGUGGACCGCUGGGCCUCUGCAUCGAGGACGGCUGCCUCCCAACAAGUGUGGGCCCCUGCACGGUCCCCAUCCCAGCCCCCGGGACACAGGUCCCUCCUCUCAGGGUCUCCUGACUCUGCCUACACGUUUCCCGGCUGUUCUUCCCGACAGUGUCUGCAGGUCUUCCUGUCCGCGUUCUCUCCUCAGCGGUGUCCACGAGGUUGUUUAAUCCAUGGAGCAUUUUGUCUUGAAGCUCUUCUUGAUAAACUCAUUUUAUAUUUCGUA